UAAGGAAAUAGUAGCCGUGAUUUUAUUCAACUCGAAGUGUUUGCAUAUCACAGUUGCUGUUUCUUUUAGAU
rnacentral:pre_miRNA from 1 species